UUUCCGCAGCUCGUCAGGGAUGUCGAGUUUGACACAGAGGUCUCGCAGACGGACACUGGCCAGAUGGUACACCUGUGGGCAGGGACACUGCUCAGGGCCACGGCCAAAGAGCACCUCACACUGGUGGGACUCGUACGAAUGAUAAGCCAGAAGAAGCAGACAAGUGAAAUUGAGUAAUUCUUACAAGACACAGACAUUGUCAUAGGGGUACUGAUGCCAAGAGGGCACUUGGUUGAAGCUUAAAUUUGGAGUUGUCCUGAUUGCAGGAAGGGCACUGCGUAGCCUAUGGAAACCACUGCACUGAAUAGUUGAAUAAUAAACCAGAAUGUCUCAAAGAUUAAUUUCUUUCUUUUAAAGAGCCUUGAAGAAAAUGGACACCUUUGAGUAGCUGCCAGCCAAGUAUAUGAUCUCCUUCACAGCUCAUGGUGGCUGUGGUGAGUCUGCUCCUUUGCUAGUGGGAAGGUGCCCGAGUAAGAAAACUACUCUUCAGAUGUGCUGUUCAUGUACAUAACCUCCUGGAGACACCCACGGAAACAGCUCAGAUGGCACUUGCACUUAAAGAUGAAAGCCCCAGCCUGAGGAGCGUCCGGGUGUACCCACAAAGCAAGGUGUGUACCCAUCAGUCUCACCUUUCCCCAGUCCUCCGCUUUCAGCGCGAACCUCGUUGAUUCGUCUGGGCGUCAGGGGUGACCCUACAACGCUGUUCCCAGCAGACCUCUCGAAGUACUGCGGCGGCAUCACCUGAAAUAUUGAUGCUUUUGGUAGAGCCUGUGUCACAGACUGACCACGUAGCAAAUUUUUAAAAGCUUCUGCGCUACAAAUUUGGGAUGGCAAAAAAUAAAAGUAACGCUGAAAGAACACGACAGUCACUGUGUAGGAAUUGUGUAUCUAGCACGUACAGCACCGUGUAAUAAUCUUUCAGAGACUGCAAUUAAAAGUCUGUGCUUUUUACCACA